rnacentral:rRNA from 1 species
AUUGAACGCUGGCGGCAGGCCUAACACAUGCAAGUCGAGCGAGCGGCGGACGGGUGAGUAAUGUAUGGGAAACUGCCUAUGGAGGGGGAUAACGACUGGAAACGGUAGCUAACACGUGAUACCGUCAGUUGUGCCCAGAUGGGAUUAGCUAGUAUGUGGGGUAAUGGCUCACCUAGGCGACGAUCCCUAGCUGGGCUGAGAGGAUGACCAGCCAGACUGGAACUGAGACACGGUCCAGACUCCUACGGGAGGCAGCAGUGGGGAAUAUUGCACAAUGGGCGCAAGCCUGAUGCAGCCAUGCCGCGUGUAUGAAGAAGGCUUUCGGGUUGUAAAGUACUUUCAGCGGGGAGGCGUUACCCGCAGAAGAAGCACCGGCUAACUCCGUGCCAGCAGCCGCGGUAAUUC